rnacentral:rRNA from 1 species
GACGAACGCUGGCGGCGCGCUUAACACAUGCAAGUCGAGCGAGAACCGGGACUUCGGUCCCGGGGACAGCGGCGAACGGGUGAGUAACACGUGGGUAAUCUGCCCUCGAUUCUGGGAUAGCCCGGGGAAACCCGGAUUAAUACCGGAUAGCCUUUCGAGCCUUCGGGCGCGAAAGAAAGGUAGCUCCGGCCUCCGAUCGAGGAUGAGCCCGCGGUGGAUUAGCUUGUUGGCGGGGUAAUGGCCCACCAAGGCGACGAUCCAUAGCUGGUCUGAGAGGACGAUCAGCCACACUGGGACUGAGACACGGCCCAGACUCCUACGGGAGGCAGCAGUGGGGAAUCUUGCGCAAUGGGCGAAAGCCUGACGCAGCGACGCCGCGUGGGGAAGAAGGCCUUAGGGUUGUAAACCUCUUCGCCAUCGACGAAGCCUGCUUAUGGGCGAGGUGACGGUAGGUGGAGAAGAAGCACCGGCCAACUACGUGCCAGCAGCCGCAGU